rnacentral:lncRNA from 1 species
CAUGCGCUAACUAAAGAUGAGCUUUUAUUCUGAGACUAAACAAAAGUUUUGUUCACUGAGUGAACAGGUCUACAUUGGGCAAGAUUUGAAGUCAGAGUCUGGGCAAAAUCUCUGGGGUUUUUAACUGAGAACAUUUAUCUGACUGGAGCAAGAGGAAUAUGAAGAUACUUUACUGACUCAUCAGCUUCAGUUCAUCGAAUAACAAGGUUGUAGGAGGUCAUGGAUUCAUCUGGGUGCUGCAGAGGAGGUCAAAGAAGAAACCAAUAUCAGUGCUGGCUGAUGUGAUUCAUUCACCUGCAGAUGCUCCCACUUCCAAUACCCAUGGCUGCCACUGUCCUGAAAUACAGAUAUCAGCUAGAGAGAUAAAUACAUUUUAUUCUUAAAAUACAAGGUCAUAAUUGAGAAGAGAAGUGCCAGGGUUUCAAAGUGGCCCAUGAUGGAUCUGUGACAUGAUCAAACCCAACACUAAGUCUGCAGCCACAGAACAAGACUGCGUGAAGGAUUCUGAAAAACAAAUGGUCAGAAGCGUUUCCUGCUCGACAGGGACAGACACAGCCACCUGCAGCUACCUGAAAGGACACAACUGUGUUGUCUUCUGCCAGACUCACAAAUUGUUUUCUCUAUUAAUUUUUCAAUUUAACAGCAUUAGCGAGGAGGGAAUUAGCUUUUGGGUUGAUUUUCUUUAUUAAAGCAAAAAUCUCUCAUAAAAGAGACUUGUUUAUUUCAG